CUGGCGGCACGCCUAACACAUGCAAGUCGAACGCAGUAGCAAUACUGAGUGGCAGACGGGUGAGUAACAUGUGGGAAUCUGCCUUGUGGUUCAGGACAACAUUGGGAAACCGAUGCUAAUACUGGAUAAGCCCUUACGGGGAAAGUUUUAAUGCCAUAAGAUGAGCCCGCAUUUGAUUAGUUAGUUGGUGAGGUAAUGGCUCACCAAGACAAUGAUCAAUAGCUGAUCUGAGAGGAUGAUCAGCCACACUGGGACUGAGACACGGCCCAGACUCCUACGGGAGGCAGCAGUGGGGAAUCUUGCACAAUGGAGGAAACUCUGAUGCAGCGAUGCCGCGUGAGUGAAGAAGGCCUUUGGGUUGUAAAGCUCUUUUGUAGGGGAAGAUAAUGACUGUACCCUAAGAAUAAGGUCCGGCUAACUUCGUGCCAGCAGCCGCGGUAAUACGAAGGGACCUAGCGUAGUUCGGAAUUACUGGGCGUAAAGCGCGCGUAGGCCGUUGAGUUAGUUAAUUGUGAAAUCCCCAAAGCUUAACUUUGGAACUGCAAUUAAAACUGCUCGACUAGAGUUUGAUAGAGGAAAGCGGAAUACAUAGUGUNAGAGGUGAAAUUCGUAGAUAUUAUGUAGANCACCAGUUGCGAAGGCGGCUUUCUGGAUCACCACUGACGCUGAGGCGCAAAGUAUGGGUAGCAAAGAGGAUUAGAUACCCUCGUAGUCCAUACCAUAAACGAUGAUUGCUAGAUGUUGGAAAUUNUUUNCAGUAUCGCAGCUAACGCAUUAAGCCAUCCGCCUGGGGAG
rnacentral:rRNA from 1 species